UACAGAGGGUGCGAGCGUUAAUCGGAAUAACUGGGCGUAAAGGGCGCGUAGGUGGUGAUUUAAGAUGCAUGUGAAAUCCCUGGGCUUAACCUAGGAAUGGCAUGGAUGACUGAAUUGCUAGAGUAUUGUAGAGGGUAGUGGAAUUUCCGGUGUAGCGGUGAAAUGCGUAGAGAUCGGAAGGAACAUCAGUGGCGAAGGCGGCUACCUGGACAAAUACUGACACUGAGGAGCGAAAGCGUGGGGAGCAAACAGG
rnacentral:rRNA from 1 species